rnacentral:lncRNA from 1 species
AGGAAUUGAAGCACGUGUUGAUGAUUGUGACAAUGAGGGUACAUAUACAUGGAUGGAUAAAAAUAGAACUAUAUGAAUAUGCAUGAACAACUAGGAUUAUGAUGGUUCUAGCUGUACAGUACUUCAUUCACUUUAGCAAUGCACUUUGAGAGUAAGCUAAUAAAUAUACAAGGGAAAUAAAGGCAUUGUACACAGCUAAUAAAAAGCUUAAUUGCUAGAAAAUCCUGUAUGAUUUUUU